GCUACAUGCAGUCGACGAUGAUCUUCAGCUUGCUGGGGGGAUUAGUGGCGAACGGGUGAGUAACACGUGAGUAACCUGCCCUUGACUCUGGGAUAAGCCUGGGAAACUGGGUCUAAUACUGGAUAUGACCUUCUGGCGCAUGCCAUGUUGGUGGAAAGCUUUAUUGCGGUUUUGGAUGGACUCGCGGCCUAUCAGCUUGUUGGUGGGGUAAUGGCCUACCAAGGCGACGACGGGUAGCCGGCCUGAGAGGGUGGACGGCCACACUGGGACUGAGACACGGCCCAGACUCCUACGGGAGGCAGCAGUGGGGAAUAUUGCACAAUGGGCGCAAGCCUGAUGCAGCGACGCCGCGUGGGGGAUGAAGGCCUUCGGGUUGUAAACCUCUUUCAGUAGGGAAGAAGCGAAAGUGACGGUACCUGCAGAAGAAGCGCCGGCUAACUACGUGCCAGCAGCCGCGGUAAUACGUAGGGCGCAAGCGUUAUCCGGAAUUAUUGGGCGUAAAGAGCUCGUAGGCGGUUUGUCGCGUCUGCCGUGAAAGUCCGGGGCUUAACUCCGGAUCUGCGGUGGGUACGGGCAGACUAGAGUGAUGUAGGGGAGACUGGAAUUCCUGGUGUAGCGGUGAAAUGCGCAGAUAUCAGGAGGAACACCGAUGGCGAAGGCAGGUCUCUGGGCAUUAACUGACGCUGAGGAGCGAAAGCAUGGGGAGCGAACAGGAUUAGAUACCCUGGUAGUCCAUGCCGUAAACGUUGGGCACUAGUGUGGGGGACAUUCCACGUUUUCCGCGCCGUAGCUAACGCAUUAAGUGCCCCGCCUGGGGAGUACGGCCGCAAGGCUAAAACUCAAAGGAAUUGAC
rnacentral:rRNA from 1 species